rnacentral:misc_RNA from 1 species
AGCCAGGUUGGCAUGGAUGAAGAAACAAGUAGAUUGAAGGGAGCAUCACCUAAAGCUCUUAUAAAGUUGUUACUAAACCUUGAUGGUCAAGGCAUAAGGCUAUUUGAUGAUACAAUCUCCAAAUUUCAUGCCAAAUUAGCUCUUGAUGAUUCCAAAUCUGACUAUGAGCAAUCAACAUCUAAGCCAGAGGGAAAGAAAGCAGAUGCUGAUGUUCUGUUUUGCAUUGAUAACAAAGGAGAAGAGGAAGACCAUCAUGAGGAUGAUAAGGAGAUAAAUGAGUCCAUGAGUGCUGCAUUUGUAGCUUCUGCACAGAAAAUGAGAUUGACAGAAAAUGGAGGAAGAAAAAGGAAAGAGGAGAGAAAUUCCAGAAAAAAGAAAAAGAUUAAACUUCUUAAGCAUAACCACUCUGAUACUUCUGAUUCAGAUGAAGAGAGGUCCUCAUCUGUCAAUGAUGAUGGUUCAGAUUCAGAUAGUGAGAGCGAAGUCGAGAAUCCAAUCUCUGAUGAAGACGUUUGAGUGAAGGGGCAGUGGGUUUCCUUGAAGAGAAAAUAUGGCAAUUAUGUUAUAGUUACUUCAAAGUCUAUGUUCAAAUGUGCAAUAGCAUUUGCUGAUAUACUUGUCCUCGCAAAGGAUUUGAAGUUGCAUUGUAGCCGUUCAUGAAUAGACAAUGUUGGAGUAUGCAUGAAUGCACCUUUUCUUUACAAAAUAGUUCACUUUCUUUUCCAGAAAGCAAUAGCUGUUAUUUUUCCCGUAGUUGCCCC